rnacentral:rRNA from 1 species
CCUACGGGCGGCAGCAGUGGGGAAUAUUGCGCAAUGGGCGAAAGCCUGACGCAGCGACGCCGCGUGAGGGAUGAAGGUCUUCGGAUCGUAAACCUCUGUCAGCAGGGAAGAACGGUCACUGUGCUAAUCAGCAGUGAAUUGACGGUACCUGCAAAGGAAGCACCGGCUAACUCCGGGCCAGCAGCCGAGGUAAUACGGAGGGUGUGAGCGUUAAUCGGAUUUACUGGGCGUAAGGCGCUCGUAGGCGGUAUGUCAAGUCAAGGGUGAAAUCCCCGCGCUCAACGUGGGAACUGCCUUGGAAACUGGCAAACUGGAGUGUGUGAGAGGAUAGUGGAAUUCCUGGUGUAGGAGUGAAAUCCGUAGAUAUCUGGAGGAACAUCAGUGGCGAAGGCGACUAUCUGGAACAUAACUGACGCUGAGGAGCGAAAGCGUGGGUAGCAAACAGGAUUAGAUACCCCAGUAGUC